rnacentral:rRNA from 1 species
UACGUAGGCAGCAAGCGUUGUUCGGAGUUACUGGGCGUAAAGGGUGCGUAGGCGGUUGUUUAAGUUUGGUGUGAAAGCCCCCGGCUCAACUGGGGAGGGUCACUCGAUACUAAUCGACUUGAAGGCAGGGAGAGGGAAGCGGAAUUCCCGGUGUAGUGGUGAAAUGCGUAGAUAUCGGGAGGAACACCAGUGGCGAAGGCGGCUUCCUGGCCUGUUCUUGACGCUGAGGCGCGAAAGCUAGGGGAGCAAACGGG